CCAGAACAAUAUAAGCCCUAGGCUGAUCCAGAGGAGCCUAGGCUGGGACAAAGGGUGGACUCUUGAAGGCUGCAAGCAAAGCUGCAGCAGCUCUACAAGUGAGAGAAACUGGCAGUGGGGACUCAGAGAUAUGGAGUGCAUGGAGUCACGGCAUUGGAAAGCAAAAGAACAGACUCUCUUUCCCCAGCUUCCCAAGACAAAAGGAGAAUGCUGUACCCUACGGAUGAGGAGGGGGUUGCAGGAGCCUGGAAGAACUGGCAUGCAGGGUACAGACCUAGCAUGGAUUCUGUAAGGGCAAAGUUGGCAAAGCAUCUGGAUCUCUUCUUGGACUGGAAAACCUGAGGCAGCUGCAGGAGCCAUGCCGGGGUAGAAACCUCCCAGACCUGGAAGGAUUAUAAACUGCAGGAACUGCAAGAAGAUCAUUUUUAACCAAUAAAUUUACAAAGGUCUUUCCUUAGGUAACAUGAGUUAUCAUCAUGUCUUGCUCAGAAUGUGUUCCACUUUGUUUUCACAUUACAGUCCCUACAAUGCCACCUCUUGGUGAGCUCACAUGUUUACACUGACUGGUGACUCCGUUCAUCUGAGGGAAACAAGACACAACAGUGGGGGUUAAAUCAGCUCUACCUGUUUGAUAAGGCAAGGGCCACUCCAGGAUCAUACAUCUGCAUUUCCCCAUCCAUCAGCAUGCAGGGGCAAGUCCUAGUAUGGAAAGAUUUCUCAAGUAAACAGUAGGGCUGUGCGAGGCUUCCGACAGAGCUUCAGAUCCGGAGAAGCUUUGGACGCUUCAGGGUCUGAAGCAGCACAUCUGGGUUGAAGCACUGGCCUUGUUAGGCUUACCGAAGCGGUUCGGA